rnacentral:rRNA from 1 species
UACGAGAGGCCCAAACGUUAUUCGGAUUUACUGGGCUUAAAGAGUUCGUAGGCGGCGCGGAAAGUAGGGUGUGAAAGCCCUCGGCUCAACCGAGGAAUUGCGCUCUAAACUGUCGCGCUCGAGGAACCUAGAGGUGAGCAGAACUGAUGGUGGAGCGGUGAAAUGCGUAGAUAUCAGUCGGAACACCAGUGGCGAAGGCGGCUUCUUGGGCCAUUACUGACGCUGAGGCGCGAAAGCCAGGGGAGCGAACGGG